AUAUUGUUGUGGGAGGGAUUAACAAGGCCGUCCAUUUGAAUGCGUACAGGUCUCCAAAUUCUUCAUCAUGGGCUGCUUUAGAUGUCACUGUGAAAUCAGUGUCUACUUUAGCCAAAAUCUUCAGGAGACCCAGGACAACAGCAAACAGGUGAGCCGACACACCACCAAUGAUUGAGAAUUGCUCAUUUCUCCACCAUUCCUCAAUGCCCACUCCACUCCACCUUGAUUCAAGAAUGCUCGUCGCGAACAUUGAGAUAAAAAGACCAAUGAAGAAAAGACUGGCAAAAGUGCUAAUCUGUAAAAUGCAAAAGUAAGUUGAGAAGAUAAGCUAAAAAUCUGACAAGUUCAACUCAUAUAGAUUGUUACAUCUUUAUAUGUCUUUGUAUACUUACAGGUGGCAUGAUGAACUUGUCUGUGAGCAAGCAAAUGGCCGGUAGAGUACAGUAGACAACGAGUGGUAAAGAGGUGAAAGGAUAUAUGGUUGUGUGAACAUAUGCAAACCGUUGAAGCCACCUAAGCUUCCCUCCUUUGUAACCAUACCAG
rnacentral:lncRNA from 1 species